AAGAGUUUGAUCAUGGCUCAGAUUGAACGCUGGCGGCAGGCCUAACACAUGCAAGUCGAACGGUAACAGAAAGCAGCUUGCUGCUUUGCUGACGAGUGGCGGACGGGGGAGUAAUGUCUGGGAAACUGCCUGAUGGAGGGGGAUAACUACUGGAAACGGUAGCUAAUACCGCAUAACGUCGCAAGACCAAAGAGGGGGACCUUCGGGCCUCUUGCCAUCGGAUGUGCCCAGAUGGGAUUAGCUUGUUGGUGGGGUAACGGCUCACCAAGGCGACGAUCCCUAGCUGGUCUGAGAGGAUGACCAGCCACACUGGAACUGAGACACGGUCCAGACUCCUACGGGAGGCAGCAGUGGGGAAUAUUGCACAAUGGGCGCAAGCCUGAUGCAGCCAUGCCGCGUGUAUGAAGAAGGCCUUCGGGUUGUAAAGUACUUUCAGCGGGGAGGAAGGGAGU
rnacentral:rRNA from 1 species